GAUGAACGCUAGCUACAGGCUUAACACAUGCAAGUCGAGGGGAAACGAUAGAGAAAGCUUGCUUUUUCUAGGCGUCGACCGGCGCACGGGUGAGUAACGCGUAUCCAACCUGCCCAUCACUUGGGGAUAACCUUGCGAAAGUAAGACUAAUACCCAAUGACGUCCAUAGAAGACAUCUGAAAGGGAUUAAAGAUUUAUCGGUGAUGGAUGGGGAUGCGUCUGAUUAGCUUGUUGGCGGGGUAACGGCCCACCAAGGCGACGAUCAGUAGGGGUUAUUAUAGGAAGGUCCCCCACAUUGGAACUGAGACACGGUCCAAACACCUACGGGAGGCAGCAGUGAGGAAUAUUGGUCAAUGGGCGAGAGCCUGAACCAGCCAAGUAGCGUGCAGGAUGACGGCCCUAUGGGUUGUAAACUGCUUUUAUAAGGGAAUAAAGUGAGCCUCGUUAGGCUUUUUGCAUGUACCUUAUGAAUAAGGACCGGCUAAUUCCGUGCCAGCCGCCGCAGUAA
rnacentral:rRNA from 1 species